rnacentral:rRNA from 1 species
AGUGAACGCUGGCGGUAGGCCUAACACAUGCAAGUCGAACGGCAGCACAGUAAGAGCUUGCUCUUACGGGUGGCGAGUGGCGGACGGGUGAGGAAUACAUCGGAAUCUACUUUUUCGUGGGGGAUAACGUAGGGAAACUUACGCUAAUACCGCAUACGACCUACGGGCGAAAGCAGGGGAUCUUCGGACCUUGCGCGAUUGAAUGAGCCGAUGUCGGAUUAGCUAGUUGGCGGGGUAAAGGCCCACCAAGGCGACGAUCCGUAGCUGGUCUGAGAGGAUGAUCAGCCACACUGGAACUGAGACACGGUCCAGACUCCUACGGGAGGCAGCAGUGGGGAAUAUUGGACAAUGGGCGCAAGCCUGAUCCAGCCAUACCGCGUGGGUGAAGAAGGCCUUCGGGUUGUAAAGCCCUUUUGUUGGGAAAGAAAAGCAGCAGGUUAAUACCCCGCUGUUCCGACGGUACCCAAAGAAUAAGCACCGGCUAACUUCGUG